AUUGAACGCUGGCGGCAGGCCUAACACAUGCAAGUCGAACGGUAACAGGAAGAAGCUUGCUUCUUUGCUGACGAGUGGCGGACGUGUGAGUAAUGUCUGGGAAACUGCCUGAUGGAGGGGGGUAACUACUGGAAACGGUAGCUAAUACCGCAUAACGUCGCAAGACCAAAGAGGGGGACCUUCGGGCCUCUUGCCAUCGGAUGUGCCCAGAUGGGAUUAGCUAGUAGGUGGGGUAACGGCUCACCUAGGCGACGAUCCCUAGCUGGUCUGAGAGGAUGACCAGCCACACUGGAACUGAGACACGGUCCAGACUCCUACGGGAGGCAGCAGUGGGGAAUAUUGCACAAUGGGCGCAAGCCUGAUGCAGCCAUGCCGCGUGUAUGAAGAAGGCCUUCGGGUUGUAAAGUACUUUCAGCGGGGAGGAAGGGAGUAAAGUUAAUACCUUUGCUCAUUGACGUUACCCGCAGAAGAAGCACCGGCUAACUCCGUG
rnacentral:rRNA from 1 species